UACGUAGGGACCGAGCGUUGUCCGGAAUCAUUGGGCGUAAAGAGCGUGUAGGCGGCCCGAUAAGUCCGCUGUGAAAGUCCAGGGCUCAACCCUGGGAUGCCGGUGGAUACUGUCGGGCUCGAGUCCGGAAGAGGAGUGUGGAAUUCCUGGUGUAGCGGUGAAAUGCGCAGAUAUCAGGAGGAACACCAAUGGCGAAGGCAGCUCGCUGGAACGUUACUGACGCUGAGACGCGAAAGCGUGGGGAGCAAACAGG
rnacentral:rRNA from 1 species